ACUUAAAUUGAAGAGUUUGAUCAUGGCUCAGAUUGAACGCUGGCGGCAGGCCUAACACAUGCAAGUCGAACGGUAGCACAAAGGAGCUUGCUCCUUGGGUGACGAGUGGCGGACGGGUGAGUAAUGUCUGGGAAACUGCCCGAUGGAGGGGGAUAACUACUGGAAACGGUAGCUAAUACCGCAUAACGUCGCAAGACCAAAGAGGGGGACCUUCGGGCCUCUUGCCAUCGGAUGUGCCCAGAUGGGAUUAGCUAGUAGGUGGGGUAACGGCUCACCUAGGCGACGAUCCCUAGCUGGUCUGAGAGGAUGACCAGCCACACUGGAACUGAGACACGGUCCAGACUCCUACGGGAGGCAGCAGUGGGGAAUAUUGCAC
rnacentral:rRNA from 1 species